UUUCCGUAGGUGAACCUGCGGAGGGAUCAUUACUGAGUGAGGGCCUUCGGGCUCGACCUCCAACCCUUUUGUGAACCACCUCGUUGCUUCGGGGGCGACCCUGCCGUUCGCGGCGUGGGGCCCCCGGAGGCUCAUCAAACACUGCAUCUCUGCGUCGGAGUUUAAGUAAAUUAAACAAAACUUUCAACAACGGAUCUCUUGGUUCUGGCAUCGAUGAAGAACGCAGC
rnacentral:misc_RNA from 1 species